GACGAACGCUGGCGGCGUGCUUAACACAUGCAAGUCGAACGGAAAGGCCUCUUUCGGGGGGUACUCGAGUGGCGAACGGGUGAGUAACACGUGAGUAACCUGCCCUUGACUUUGGGAUAACUUCAGGAAACUGGGGCUAAUACCGGAUAGGAGCUCCUGCUGCAUGGUGGGGGUUGGAAAGUUUCGGCGGUUGGGGAUGGACUCGCGGCUUAUCAGCUUGUUGGUGGGGUAGUGGCUUACCAAGGCUUUGACGGGUAGCCGGCCUGAGAGGGUGACCGGCCACAUUGGGACUGAGGUACGGCCCAGACUCCUACGGGAGGCAGACGUGGGGAAUAUUGCACAAUGGGUGGAAGCCUGAUGCAGCAACGCCGUGUGCGGGAUGACGGCCUUCGGGUUGGAAACCGCUUUCGCUCAUGACGAAGCUUUGUGUGACGGUAGUGGGUAAAGAAGCACCGGCUAACUACGUG
rnacentral:rRNA from 1 species